UUUUUUUUUUUUGAAAAAAAUUUCAAAUACCACCUUUCAUAGUAUUAUAUUUAUAUACUUUAAAGUAUAUCAAUUUUAUACCCUAUAGCUUUAAUUUAUAUUUUUAUUAUUUCCGCACUAUUUUUUUUUUGUUAAAUCAAUGAGAGAGUUAAAACUAAAAUAUACUAAAGUGAAUAUUCAAUAAAUCUAGGUGGAAGUAUCUGAAGUUUUUUAUAUAUAAUUUAACGAAAUGUUAACAGAAGAACUGACAAAAAGAAAAAAAUGAAAUCACAGAGUACUAAAUUGAUACACUUUAAAUCACAUAAUACUAAAGUAAGAAAGUGCGAAAUCAUAUGAGUGGUAUUUAAAGUUUACAUUAUUUUUUUUUGGCUUUUGGCAAUUUCAGUGGCAUUCCUCAAAUUUUAAAAAUAUAUUUAGAACAGUUAAUGUCGAUAUUAUUUUUAUAAAUUUAUAAAAGUAAUUAAUUUGUUUGAAUUUUAUUAGAAUUACGAUAUAAUAAAAAAAAUGUAUUUG
rnacentral:lncRNA from 1 species